rnacentral:rRNA from 1 species
AUCAAAAACAUGUCUUUAAGAGGAAUUAAUUUAAAGUCAGAUCUGCCCUAUGAAAAGUUAAAUGGCUGCAGUACACUGACUGUACAAAGGUAGCAAAAUAAUUAGCUUAUUAAUUGUAAGCCGGAAUGAAGGAUUAGAUAAGAAAUUAACUUUUUUAAUGAAAUAAGUGAAAUUUAAAUUUUAAAUAAAAAUGUUUAGAUAAAAGUAAGGGACGAGAAGACCCCGUAGAUUUUUACGAUUUAAUUUGUGAAAGUUGAUUGUUUUUUUCAUCAUGGAUUUAAAUUGUUUUAAUGGGAAAUUAAUAAAAUAUAAGAAUUUUUAUUAUUUAAGACAUUUUAUAGGUGAUUAGAGAGAUGAAUCAUAUUUUGAGAAAUUUAAAUACCUCGGGGAUAACAGCGUGAUAUAUAAAUUAAGGCCAUAUUUUUUUAUAUGGUUGCGACCUCGAUGUUG